AUUCAACCGAUGAGUCCAAAAUAGGACGAAACGCGCAUCCUGGAU
rfam:Schistosoma rodhaini strain Burundi genome assembly, scaffold: SROB_scaffold0014207